AGUGCCUUUGAUGCCCAUAGAUUCAUAAACUAGCUCCACACCCACCAAACCAAUCAAAGCGUAGGGCGAUUCAUGAGCUGGACGAUCACUUGGGUCUGUCCUCAAGAAGUUAAAAAAGAAAUAACAUGCAGAAAAACAUCAUUUCGCGGUUUGUUAUGGACGUUAUCGAGCUAGAGUCGUUUGUAAACAGCCCUCCUCAUGGAUUCACUGCCGAGCGUCGCGCGGACUGCACACUCGUGAAGUGGGAUCAGGAGAAGAGCUGUGUGUUCAUCGAUGAAAUCCAGUCUAGCAAGGGAAAAGUGAUUUUCUGUAAUUCUCCAGGAAGGGAAAUCACAGUACGUACUUUGGGAGAGUACACAGAUUUGAGACGACAACUAACCUCAAAGACAAUAUACAUACUGGUGUCUGCAUGCAGCAAUAAGGUCGAAGAAAAGACAAACAGAGAAGUUCCAGCUUUUGGAUAUUACGUGGUGGCGAUCAAUGGCAGUCAUCCAAUGAUCAGAUGGGAGAUGGAGAGAGGUUUAGACCUGACUAUUUCAUCUGUUGCUGGAGAGAGCUAUACAGUUGAUGUUGAUGUUAGUGCUGCACUUCAGGGAUGGGUCGGUGAGAACAUUCAAAUCCUUGUUGAUGCAGAAAAGGUGAAACCCACUUGGAAAGACACGCAUUUUACCAUCAAGUACCGUUCUGACGCCCUUUUUGACUUUCCCUACUGGUUUGGCUUCAGCAAACGACAGUUCAAGAUCUCUUAUCAUGGGAGAUGAGGUCAACACCCAAAAUGUUGUAAUAUCUACUGAGAACUUCAGUCUGUGGAAUUGAAACCCACAGAUGAGGAGACCAUGAGCGCUAUGCAACUCAUUAAAGCACCUUAAAGGACUGUUUUACUGUAAAUAAAACUUUAUUUUGCUCAUGUUAGCAAUAAUACAUAAGAUCAUAAAGAAAUGGAGAUCAUAGGAAUUUAAUCUUAAUUUUAAUUCUGUUGAAGCAAGAAAGGUCAAUUUCAUAAAUCCUCACAAACUCAUGGUAGUUACAGUACUUUUUUAAAAUGGGUUACUUUAUGCAAAAGUGCCCAAACAGUAAGUACAUUCAUUGCUUUAAAUGGGUCAUAUCAUGAGGCAACAAAUUGCCCUUUAUCUUUUGGGAUAAUUAAAAACAAUCUGGAUAAUUCUGCAACUUUCUGAUGUCACACAUAGUAAAACGUCGCAUUACCCUCCAAGUUCACACAUUUCUUGUGCUGUUUCUGGCUGUGUGUAGCACCAACUGCUCUGCAUGUACUUCCAGGGUAUUGUUAGAAACUUGUGCAUAGGACCCUAGUAAUUUCAGUCUAAUCUUGACACAUUUCAGCAUUGAUUAUUUUAUAAUCCUGUUAUGUAAUGCAGACUUUGCAAAGAGGCUGUUGGUUUUGCUGAAAUAUAUUUCACACAACAGGAAAGCUUCAAUCCUGUGCAUGAGCAGAUUGUGGUACUUUUAAAGACACAGUAACAAAAGCUGACUGUUAAAUCUAAAAUUCAGAGAGAGAGAGAGAGAGAGAGAGGUGUGAAAAUGGUCAUGAAAAACUAAAAUAAACAAAACUAACCUUGUAAGUUGACCUCAGGGGAAAAAACCAAAUCAUUAUAUGACCCCUUUAAAACAUUUCAUCAAAUACCUUAUACUGGGAUAGUAUUAGUAAAAUUUUGUGUUGAUUUGUAAAUGUUUAUAAUAUAACAUUUUGCAAUUAAAUGCUUUUGUGACUAUCAA